UCCGGAAAAAUUUUCUACUACUCAAUGGAACACCACUGAACUUCUAAAUAUUCGUAAAAACAUUGAAUUUGUUAUUACUAGUCCAACUUUAAAGAAACAAUAGCCUCAGAAACUGUCUGAUAAAGCUCUCAGAAUAUCAUUCCUACAAGCAUCACUCAAAUACAACUUCAUAAGAAAGUGAAUUUUUCCUUCAAACCUGUUGGACAAAAUUAACCAUAUAAACC
rnacentral:lncRNA from 1 species